CCUACGGGAGGCAGCAGUGGGGGAUAUUGCACAAUGGAGGAAACUCUGAUGCAGCGACGCCGCGUGAGGGAAGACGGUCUUCGGAUUGUAAACCUCUGUCUUUGGGGAAGAAAAUUACGGUACCCAAAGAGUAUUCUCCGGCUCACUACGUUCCAGUAGCCGCGGUACUACGCAGGGAGCGAGCGUUGUCCGGAAUUACUGGGUGUAAAGGGAGCGUAGGCGGGCGAGAAAGUUGAAUGUUAAAUCUACCGGCUAAACUGGUAGCUGCGUUCGAGACUUGUUGUCUUGAGUGAAGUAGAGGCAGGCGGAAUUCCUAGUGUAGCGGUGAAAUGCGUAGAUAUUAGGAGGAACACCAGUGGCGAAGGCGGCCUGCUGGGCUGUAACUGACGCUGAGGCUCGAAAGCGUGGGGAGCAAACAGGAUUAGAUACCCCUGUAGUC
rnacentral:rRNA from 1 species